rnacentral:tRNA from 2 species
GGCCUUAUAGUCAGUUAUGAUUUAAAAUUGCAAAUUUUAAGGAAAAAUUAUUAAUUUUUAAGGCUU